rnacentral:rRNA from 1 species
GAGUUUGAUCCUGGCUCAGAUUGAACGCUGGCGGCAUGCCUUACACAUGCAAGUCGAACGGCAGCACGGGAGCUUGCUCCUGGUGGCGAGUGGCGAACGGGUGAGUAAUGCAUCGGAACGUAUCCUGGAGUGGGGGAUAACGUAGCGAAAGUUACGCUAAUACCGCAUAUUCUGUGAGCAGGAAAGCGGGGGACCUUCGGGCCUCGCGCUCUUGGAGCGGCCGAUGUCGGAUUAGCUAGUUGGUGAGGUAAAGGCUCACCAAGGCGACGAUCCGUAGCAGGUCUGAGAGGAUGAUCUGCCACACUGGAACUGAGACACGGUCCAGACUCCCACGGGAGGCAGCAGUGGGGAAUUUUGGACAAUGGGGGCAACCCUGAUCCAGCCAUGCCGCGUGAGUGAAGAAGGCCUUCGGUUGUAAG